AUUGAACGCUGGCGGCAGGCCUAACACAUGCAAGUCGAGCGGAUGAAGGUAGCUUGCUCCUGUAUUCAGCGGCGGACGGGUGAGUAAUGCCUAGGAAUCUGCCUGGUAGUGGGGGAUAACGUCCGGAAACGGGCGCUAAUACCGCAUACGUCCUGAGGGAGAAAGUGGGGGAUCUUCGGACCUCACGCUAUCAGAUGAGCCUAUGUCGGAUUAGCUAGUUGGUGGGGUAAAGGCCUACCAAGGCGACGAUCCGUAACUGGUCUGAGAGGAUGAUCAGUCACACUGGAACUGAGACACGGUCCAGACUCCUACGGGAGGCAGCAGUGGGGAAUAUUGGACAAUGGGCGAAAGCCUGAUCCAGCCAUGCCGCGUGUGUGAAGAAGGUCUUCGGAUUGUAAAGCACUUUAAGUUGGGAGGAAGGGCAGUAAGUUAAUACCUUGCUGUUUUGACGUUACCAACAGAAUAAGCACCGGCUAACUUCGUG
rnacentral:rRNA from 1 species